UGGCCGCGGUCGGGCUGAGCCGGGAGCGCCGUCCCGCCUGCCGCCUCCCAGACCUCAGCGGCCGCGAGCGGGGCUGUCGCCCGCCUGUCGCCUGCCCGCGCGGCCUCGGCGGGAGGAGCGGCCGCGCCAGUAAGUAACUGAACAGGGAUAUGAAGAACUAAUAUUGCAAAUGACCACCAUGUUGCAAAAGAAAUAGAUUCUCGUCUUCUGGAGCUGUUCACUGGAAGUUCUGCAUGAAUGUAGAAGGGAAAGGAAAAGAUGGAAAAAGUAGAGGACCUAGCAAGAUCACUUUUUAGCUUCGAGUCCCUGUAUACUGUAAGUCAAUUUACUAACACGCUAUAAAGUCUUUAAAAGUUUUUUUUCCUAUUCUAUGACCCAACAAGCUGGUCCAAUGUUAAUCUAAAUAUUUACUGGUCUUUCAUUAGAAGAGUAUAACAGAAACAACAUAUUAUAUUUAAUAUAAAUAUAAAAACUGCCUCAAGACACAUCUAAGAACCACUGUAUUCUAUCAAUGUAGAUCUCCAGCACAUGAGUUAUGCUAGUCCAUAGAAGUUUAGAAUUCUUAUCCAUUAUAUUAAACUCAUUGGUUUUCUCUAUUAUUUUUGCUACUUUAAGUAGCAAAAUGUAACAAUCAGUUAAUAAUAUCAAAGGAACAUGGCUUAUCCAUUUUCUCAGUGGAGGUAAACAGCGAAUUUCCAAGGCUACUUUAAUUUUCAGUUUUUAAAGAAAAAAUCAAGAUCUCAAAGUAAUAUCUAUAUUAUUCACUAACCACUUUUUAAAAGUGAGAGUUUUCUAGUUUCCUCACAAAUAUCGACUUGACACAGUUCUAGAGUUAUAAAUAUAUUAAUAGUAACAUAUUUUCAGUGACCGUUUUUUGCUCACAUAAUAGUACUUUUCAGGAGACUUUAUGUAUUUUGAAUGACUGUUAUUGUUUAACAUUGAUUCACUUCAUUGUCUUGUAUACUGGCUGGAAAGUUUUAGAAAUAAAUUAUAAAUAAAUUCUAGAUUCUGAGCAUAAGUUUCCCCUAUGUAAAACUCUGAACUUCAAAAGAUUUUAUUUCAGAUUGAUUUCACUGGUUCUCCUUUUGAAGAUUGAAGGGCUUCUAGAAUUCCUAGAAUAGCAUUCUAUGCUCUCUAUAAGACAUAAGAGUCAAUUCAUGAAUGUUGUUCACUGGGUAGGUUAAGUCUGAUAAAUUGCUGUGUCAGCUGUCCCUUGACACCCUUCGUUAGAACUGGAAGCACUGUGGUGAAAUGAUGUCAUGGGAACGCCAGGCUCUGGGGUUCUGCAAAGGAGCAGGUGGCGCCGGGCGAGGCACCGGUGGGUCCCUGGGAGUUCUCGCAGGCACCUCUCUGGCUGCGCUGGGGGCCCUUUUGUUAGUAGCUGGCCACAGUCACAGUCAUUUAGGAAUGGGCAAGGGGACAAGCUGGACAGAUUAUACUAGUGUUUAAGAAUAUACAUGUCCACGUAAACAAAACAUUAGCAUCCUCCUUGGUUUCUGGCAUGAUUUUAAAGUGGAAGUGUUUAACUAUAAUAAUAAAGUGGAGAUUUCCAGAUUGUCCCCACAAUAUCUAAAAUCUUGAUUGCAAUCUUACUUUAAUGGAGUUAUGUAAAAAAAA